rnacentral:rRNA from 1 species
AUUGAACGCUGGCGGCAUGCUUUACACAUGCAAGUCGAACGGUAACAGGCCGCAAGGUGCUGACGAGUGGCGAACGGGUGAGUAAUGCAUCGGAACGUGCCCAGUCGUGGGGGAUAACUACUCGAAAGAGUAGCUAAUACCGCAUACGAUCUAUGGAUGAAAGCGGGGGACCGUAAGGCCUCGCGCGAUUGGUGCGGCCGAUGUCAGAUUAGGUAGUUGGUGGGGUAAAGGCUCACCAAGCCAACGAUCUGUAGCUGGUCUGAGAGGACGACCAGCCACACUGGGACUGAGACACGGCCCAGACUCCUACGGGAGGCAGCAGUGGGGAAUUUUGGACAAAGGGCGCAAGCCUGAUCCAGCAAUGCCGCGUGCAGGAAGAAGGCCUUCGGGUUGUAAACUGCUUUUGUACGGAACGAAACGGCUCUGGUUAAUACCCGGGGCUAAUGACGGUACCGUAAGAAUAAGCACCGGCUAACUACGUG